GAUGAACGCUGGCGGCGUGCCUAAUACAUGCAAGUCGAGCGAACGGACGAGAAGCUUGCUUCUCUGAUGUUAGCGGCGGACGGGUGAGUAACACGUGGAUAACCUACCUAUAAGACUGGGAUAACUUCGGGAAACCGGAGCUAAUACCGGAUAAUAUUUUGAACCGCAUGGUUCAAAAGUGAAAGACGGUCUUGCUGUCACUUAUAGAUGGAUCCGCGCUGCAUUAGCUAGUUGGUAAGGUAACGGCUUACCAAGGCAACGAUGCAUAGCCGACCUGAGAGGGUGAUAGGCCACACUGGAACUGAGACACGGUCCAGACUCCUACGGGAGGCAGCAGCAGGGAAUCUUCCGCAAUGGGCGAAAGCCUGACGGAGCAACGCCGCGUGAGUGAUGAAGGUCUUCGGAUCGUAAAACUCUGUUAUUAGGGAAGAACAUAUGUGUAAGUAACUGUGCACAUCUUGACGGUACCUAAUCAGAAAGCCACGGCUAACUACGUG
rnacentral:rRNA from 1 species